GACUACUAUUAAAUUUGAUGCCGGUUAUUGGGAUUCUGCAAUGGAAGAGUCAAAUCGGAUUUUUACUAUAAAUCUGCCUCGCAAGUAAAAGCCGAUACAAUCAUAAAAGAGAGAAGACAACCACAGAAAAAUCUACAUGUGAAAUAAGAUUUAUUAAUCAGAAAAAUAAUUACACCUGACUCCUCUUCUACAGUAGAAUAGCUUCAACCCAAGCCUUCUUUCUUAAACUCUCACCGUUAUCUCGUGUUUUAUAAACUUAAAAGACUUCUCUCUCUUUUUCUCUCUAUGCACCCAUGCAUAAGGUGAACGCAACCAUGGCCAACUCUCUCCCUAGUACAAACACCACCAAAGAACUUUCCACUUGACCGUACUUUCCUUUUGAAGCUUCGGCCAUACACUCUUAGGCUUCAACUUCUUAAUGCUAUAUAUACUAUGCUCAAUGUCACGCCCCGGGGUCCCUUUUUGAUUUAAAGACUGAUGCGGAAGUGCUCAAUUUUUUUUUUUUUUUUGAAAACCUUGACUCCAGAGUGUGUCAGAUCCGCAACAAAUUUAGAGAAUUCACUGUUCAUACGGACAGAGUCUCCCCUAUAUUUGCAUGGCGUCGCACAAGCACAAAAUACAACCACAUAUAUAUGAACAUUCACAUACAUUACCACAUCACAUUUAUCAUUCAUUCCAUCACAGAUAAUUAUAAAUUCACCUCUAUUAGUUUAAAAUGUUUCCUACCCAGAAACUUAUGUUGAAAUACUAAGAAUCACGAAAAACUACGAGAAAACCUUUUUAAAACUGUUUCCCACACGAAAACUUUUUCUUUUAAAACACGCUAUCACGAGGGGUAUAAAACUAUUUUCACAAUUUUACGUGAAAACCACAAUUAUUUUAUUUGACUUCACAAAACCAUAUAUAUACUCAACUAAAAUAAAAUCAACUGAACCAUAAAAACGUCUAAGUCAAUUCUUAAAAA
rnacentral:lncRNA from 1 species